AGUGAAGGGAACGGUUCGUCUCUUAAUUCUUCUUGAAUUGUCCCCGCUUAGAGGAGCAGGACCCCAGGUUUGCAGCGAAGGGAAUGGUUCAUUCUUUCAAGUAUGAGUGAAGCAGUUGAAUUUCUAUGAAAGUUAGGGUUUCAAGCUUUACCAAUUUUGAAGGUGAUGAAGGGUUCAAAUGUGAUGAAGGUGCAGUGAAAAAGGUGAUGAAUUGCAGUGAAGAAGAAGAUUGUUGUGUAUUGAACUUCCACGAAGAAGAAGGGUUCAGUUUGUUUCUAGAAACUUUCUACGUAUCGUUAAUUUCUUUCUUUUUUGUUUUUGAUUCAUCGUAUUUAUUAUUUUUU
rnacentral:lncRNA from 1 species